GAUGAACGCUGGCGGCGUGCCUAAUACAUGCAAGUCGAGCGAACAGACGAGGAGCUUGCUCCUCUGACGUUAGCGGCGGACGGGUGAGUAACACGUGGAUAACCUACCUAUAAGACUGGGAUAACUUCGGGAAACCGGAGCUAAUACCGGAUAAUAUAUUGAACCGCAUGGUUCAAUAGUGAAGGACGGUUUUUGCUGUCACUUAUAGAUGGAUCCGCGCCGCAUUAGCUAGUUGGUAAGGUAACGGCUUACCAAGGCAACGAUGCGUAGCCGACCUGAGAGGGUGAUCGGACACACUGGAACUGAGACACGGUCCAGACUCCUACGGGAGGCAGCAGUAGGGAAUCUUCCGCAAUGGGCGAAAGCCUGACGGAGCAACGCCGCGUGAGUGAUGAAGGUCUUCGGAUCGUAAAACUCUGUUAUUAGGGAAGAACAAAUGUGUAAGUAACUAUGCACGUCUUGACGGUACCUAAUCAGAAAGCCACGGCUAACUACGUGCCAGCAGCCGCGGUAAUACGUAGGUGGCAAGCGU
rnacentral:rRNA from 1 species